GCCUUCGUGGCUCAGCUGGUUAGAGCGCCGGUCUCAUAUCUGUUCCUCAGGUACAAUGUGAUUGUCAUCAGGCAAGUCAUCCGGAGAUCGCCAGUUCGAUCCUGGCCGAGGGCA
rnacentral:tRNA from 1 species